rnacentral:rRNA from 1 species
UGGGAACAUUAUCUUCACCCUCAUGAAUUUAUCAUCCAUACCGAUCAUGAAACGCUUAAGUACUUAAAAGGCCAAACUAAGUUGAACAAGCGUCAUGCAAAAUGGAGUGAAUUCACUGAGUCUUUUCCUUAUGUUAUCAAGUACAUCAAGGGUAAGGAAAAUGUAGUGGCGGAUGCCCUUUCCCGCAUAUGCAUGCUAGUCACUAAACUUGAAUUGAGUGUCAUUGGCUUUGAGCACAUGAAAGACUUGUAUGUGCAUGAUCCUACUGUUGCUAUUCCUUAUGCUAAGUGUUUGAUGCAUACAUCUUGGGAACGAUAUUACAUCAAGGAUGAUUAUCUUAUGAGAGCUAACAAACUUUGCAUUCCCGAGUCUUCUUUUCGUUUGCUCCUUUUGCAAGAGGCUCAUGGAGGCGGACUAAUGGGACACUUUGGACGCGAUAAGACAUUUGCUACGCUCUCCAAGAACUAUCUUUGGCCCAAGAUGUUCUGCAACGUCUCACGCUUCACCAACUGA